GACGAACGCUGGCGGCGUGCCUAAUACAUGCAAGUAGAACGCACAGUUUAUACCGUAGCUUGCUACACCAUAGACUGUGAGUUGCGAACGGGUGAGUAACGCGUAGGUAACCUGCCUGGGAGCAGGGCAGAACUAUUGGAAACGAUAGCUAAUACCGCAUAAUAUUAAUUAUUCCAUAGUAAUUAAUGGAAAGGUUCAAUUUCACCACUACCAGAUGGACCUCCGUGCUAUUAGCUAGUAGGUGAGGUAACGGCUCACCUAAGCGACGGUACAUAGCCGAACCGGGAGGGGUAUAGGCCCAACCGGGAACGGAGACACGCUCAGAACUCCAAGGGGGGCAGCCGGAGGGGAUCUUCGGCAAUGGAGGAAAGUCUGACCGGGGCACGGCGGGUGAGUGAAUAAGGUUCUCGGAUCGUAAAGAUCUUUUGUAAGAGAAGAACGGGUGUGAGAGUUGACAGUUCACGUUGUGACGGUACCUUACCAGAAAGGGACGGCUAACUACGUG
rnacentral:rRNA from 1 species